CGACUCGCCACUGCCACGUGUUAUGUGACCCUGAACGCUUGUCAAUUUUGUAGUCCGCGCUUAUAAAAAAUACGAAAUUUCAAAUUGCCAGAUAUCAAAAUGCCAAGAAAACGAGAACGCACCACUACGAAAGCAUCUUGGACCGUAGAAACGUUAGAAAAUGCGGUCAAAAAAAUUCAGCGUGACGGUACAUCAGUAUACAAGGUAUCAAUAGAGACAGGAAUACCCUACAGCACCUUGAAAAAAAGAUUCAGAUUGGCUAAGGUCAAUGAUGCUAGCUACAGGCGUCCUCCUAAACUAGGAAGGCCAUCUGUGUUCACUGAGGAACAAGAAUUAAUUCUGGCUAAUCACCUACAUACAAUGUCAAAAAAAAUUUACGGACUGACGAGGGCUCAGUUUUGUAAAGUAUGCUACGCCAUGGCUGAAAGAUUUGGUGUCGCAGAUCGAUUUAAUGAAAUCAAGAAGUCUGCGGGCAGAGACUUUCUAACUGGCUUUUUUCAACGACAUCCUGAUUUAAGUAUUAGAAAGCCAGAAGCGACAAGCAUCAAUAGGAUACUUGGGUUCAAUAAAGCUGAAGUGGAUCAAUUCUUUGAAAAUUUGGAAAAAGUCAUGACAAAAUACCACUUUCCACCAUCUCAAAUUUACAAUAUGGAUGAGAC